AUUGAACGCUGGCGGCAUGCUUUACACAUGCAAGUCGAACGGUAACAGGCCGCAAGGUGCUGACGAGUGGCGCACGGGUGAGUAAUGCAUCGGAACGUGCCCAGUCGUGGGGGAUAACUACUCGAAAGAGUAGCUAAUACCGCAUACGAUCUAUGGAUGAAAGCGGGGGACCGUAAGGCCUCGCGCGAUUGGAGCGGCCGAUGUCAGAUUAGGUAGUUGGUGGGGUAAAGGCUCACCAAGCCAACGAUCUGUAGCUGGUCUGAGAGGACGACCAGCCACACUGGGACUGAGACACGGCCCAGACUCCUACGGGAGGCAGCAGUGGGGAAUUUUGGACAAUGGGCGCAAGCCUGAUCCAGCAAUGCCGCGUGCAGGAAGAGGGCCUUCGGGUUGUAAACUGCUUUUGUACGGAACGAAACGGCUCUGGUUAAUACCCGGGGCUAAUGACGGUACCGUAAGAAUAAGCACCGGCUAACUACGUG
rnacentral:rRNA from 1 species